CAGUAGCCGCGGUAAUACAGAGGAUGCAAGCGUUAUCCGGAAUGAUUGGGCGUAAAGCGUCUGUAGGUGGCUUUUCAAGUCCGCCGUCAAAUCCCAGGGUUCAACCCUGGACAGGCGGUGGAAACUACCAAGCUGGAGUACGGUAGGGGCAGAGGGAAUUUCCGGUGGAGAGGUGAAAUGCGUUGAGAUCGGAAAGAGCACCAACGGCGAAAGCACUCUGCUGGGCCGACACUGACACUGAGAGGCGAAAGCUAGGGGAGCAAAUGGGAUUAGAUACCCCCGUAGUCCCUGUCUCUUAUAC
rnacentral:rRNA from 1 species